GAAAGCAGUGGUCUGAUUACAAGUUUUCAUAGGCAAUGUAUCUGAGAAAACAUCUGAUAUGUUAAUCAGGCAGUUACUUGUGAAAUGUGGCUUGGUUUUAAACUGGAAGAGAAUCAACAAGCUUCAGGAAAGUUACUAUACUAGACUCCAAUAACUACAGGGACAGCAGACCUAUUGCAUCAGUGAGCUGCUCGGUGUUCAGAGUAGCCAGCCAGGGUGUCAGAGGGGCUGGCCUGUGGUUUAGAGAAGGGGCGACUAUCCACUGGGCCACAGGAGGAGCCAGACUGGGUUUGGAGACUGUGCUUCUGCCUGCCACUCGAGGGCACUGGAGUUGGUGUGCAAAGGUGGCGUGCAAUGAAACCGAACUUCAAGUGGGAGACAAAACGCUACUUGUAAAAGUAGAUGUAAAGACCAAAGUCCAACUGGAUGAAUGGAAGGCCGAAAAGAAAAGAGUGAAUGGAGAUAGAAAAACAGGAUUUGUCAGAUGGUGUUGUGGAUGAGGAAACUAAAAGGAGAGAUCAGUUUGUAAAAGUAGCAUUAAUAAGAAAACACUCCAGUGAACUAAUUGCAUUUUCCCAAGAUCAAGAUGCACAAAACAAUAAUAAAAAGAAAGGAAGAGAAGGAGAGAGGGAACAUGAGAAAGAAAAAGAAAGGGAUUGAAGUAGACCUAGACAGGGAAAAGGAGAAGAAAGUUGUCCAGAGCUGUUAGAACUACUACCUGCACCCUUUCAGAUUCAACACCUACAACCACCAUGGAGGAGGCAUCAGAACCUGGGAUUGUUUCAAGUCUCACCUGCCAAGCAGAGGGGUCUCCCUCGUCAGGAAUUACAUUAUCUCUCAAGAGCAAGAAAUCCUCCACAGUGAUUAAAUACUUAA